ACUGUCCUUGUCUUGGGGUGCGAGCUUGCUCAAGGAGCGUUUAGCGAGAGCAAGACUGCUGACACCCUACAACUACAUGUUGUAGACACGCAUCGCCUCCCUCGGGAGGUCUGGGUGCAAUUUAUGGGGGC
rnacentral:ncRNA from 13 species